rnacentral:tRNA from 11 species
GGGUCGAUGCCCGAGGGGUUAAUGGGGACGGACUGUAAAUUCGUUGGCAAUUUGUCUACGCUGGUUCAAAUCCAGCUCGGCCCA